GACGAACGCUGGCGGCGUGCCUAAUACAUGCAAGUAGGACGCAGUUGCGAACGGGUGAGUAACGCGUAGGUAACUGCCUAUUAGAGGGGGAUAACUAUUGGAAACGAUAGCUAAUACCGCAUACUAGUAGAUGGACCUGCGUUGUAUUAGCUAGUAGGUAGGGUAAUGGCCUACCUAGGCGACGAUACAUAGACGACCGGAGGUGUGUAUCGGCCACACUGGGGAUUGGACACGGGCCAGGUCCCUCAGGGAGGCAGCAGUAGGGAAUCUUCGGCAAUGGGGGGAACCCUGACCGAGCAACUGCGCGGGAGUGAAGAAGGUUUUCGGAUCGUAAAGCUCUGUUGUUAAGGAAGCGGUACUUAACCAGAAAGGGACGGCUAACUACGUGCCAGCAGCCGCGGUAAUAC
rnacentral:rRNA from 1 species